GAGGGCCUACGGGAGGCAGCAUUAUUUAAUCUUCUUCAAUGUUCUAAAUCCUGACCGAGCAACGCCGCGUGAAUGAAUAAGUCCUUCGGGUUGUAAAAUUCUGUUAUAAGUGAAGAAAGUUGAUAGGAGGAAGUGACUAUCAAUUGACGGUACCUUAUGAGAAAGCCACGGCUAACUACGUGCCAGCAGCCGCGGUAAUACGUAGGUGGCAAGCGUUAUCCGGAAUUAUUGGGCGUAAAGAGCGCGCAGGUGGUUAAUUAAGUCUGAUGUGAAAGCCCACGGCUUAACCGUGGAGGGUCAUUGGA
rnacentral:rRNA from 1 species